GACGAACGCUGGCGGCGUGCUUAACACAUGCAAGUCGAGCGGUAAGGCCCUUUCGGGGGUACACGAGCGGCGAACGGGUGAGUAACACGUGGGUGACCUGCCCUCAGCUCUGGGAUAAGCCUGGGAAACCGGGUCUAAUACCGGAUAUGACUCCAUGACGCAUGUUGUGGGGUGGAAAGCCUUGUGCGGCUGAGGAUGGGCCCGCGGCCUAUCAGCUUGUUGGUGGGGGAUGGCCUACCAAGGCGACGACGGGUAGCCGGCCUGAGAGGGCGACCGGCCACACUGGGACUGAGACACGG
rnacentral:rRNA from 1 species